rnacentral:piRNA from 1 species
UACCUACCAGUGUCAACUAUCUCUUCUA